AAGAUCAAUUUAAUUUCAAAAAAAAAAUGAGUUGAUUUAAAAACCUGCCAGUCUGCUUGAGCAUAUCGAGCAUGUUAGUCUGGAAGACAUGAUCGACAGCCUCGACACUGACACCAGUACCGCUCUGGGGCAUGGCGAAGAC